ACGCCCGGCGCCUCGAAGGCACUUGGCCUGUGCCGUGCGGCCGGGGCUCGCGCCACCCUGGAGCGGCCGUCGCCUCCCCUCCCGGCACCGCCCGCCGCUGGGCGCUGGCGCCGGGCCCUCGGGGUGUCGGGCUCGCAGCCGCGGGGCAGGCGCCGCUUCCGCCCUCACUCGGUGGAGGCGGAGGCCGCAGGGCCGGGCGGCGGGGGCCGCGGCGGGGGCCGGAGAGCAGGGCCCGCAGCUGGGGGGCGCAGCCGGUGCCGCGCACGCGCCCUCGGCGACGCGGCGAGGCUGCCACCAGCCAGACGAGUGCGGCCGCACGACGGCGGGGGCGAGAGGGGGGGUCGUGCGGGGAGGCUCCCGGAAGGGGGCGUGUCUGGAGGUUCCCGCCGUUUAGGGCGACGCGCCGGAUUCGUCGGAACAGCGCGGGAACGGCCUGGAGGUCCCGUGGCGGCCGGCGCCACGUGCGGUGCCGAGCUCAGGACGCGAGAGGCGGUCGGCAGCUGGGAGCGGCCCCGGCCUAGCCUUCCGGCCUGGGCACCUGCGCCCCGCCCGCCCCCUGCCCAGCCCGGCGCGCCCCUUGCAGCCGUCCCUGUGCCCAGGUACCCACCCCCCAGCCCCGCGCACCCCUUGCGUCAUCCCCGUGCCCAGGUCCCCCCCAGAGCCCGGCGCGCCCCUUCUGCCAUCCCCGUGCCCAGAUCCCCAGAUCCCCCCCCCCCCGAGCCCGGCGCGCCUCUUGCGCUGUCCCUGUGCCCAGGUCCCCUCCAAGCCCGGCGCGCCCCUUACGCUAUCUCCGUGCCCGGGUACCACCCCGGAGCCCAGCGCGCCCCUUGCGCCGUCCCCGUGCCCAGGUCCCCUCCAAGCCCGGCGCGCCCCUUCCGCCAUCUCCGUGCCCAGGUCCCCCCCCGGAGCCCAGCGCGCCCCUUGCGCCGUCCCCGUGCCCAGAUCCGCCCCCCCAAGCCCGGCGCGCCCCUUUCGCCGUCCCCGUGCCCAGGUCCCUCCCUCCCCCCCCCCCCCCCCCCCCGAGCCCAGCCCAGCGCGCCCCUAACGCGGUCCCCGUGCCCGGCGCGCCCCUUCCGCUGUCCACGCGUCCAGGUGCAGACGGACGCUUCCUGUGCCGCGUGUUCGCUUUAG
rnacentral:lncRNA from 1 species